rnacentral:rRNA from 1 species
UGUGGAUAGCGGAGAAAUUCCAAUCGAACUCGGAGAUAGCUGGUUCUCCUCGAAAUAGCUUUAGGGCUAGCCUCGUAUAUGUCUAGCGGAGGUAGAGCACUGAAUAGUCUAGGGACCUACACAGGUUACCGAAACUUAUCAAACUCCGAAUGCCGCAUAGAUUUAGUACGGGAGUCAGACAGCGACAGAUAAGUGCCGUUGUCAAAAGGGAAACAGCCCAGAUCGCCAGCUAAGGUCCCAAAAUUAUGGUUAAGUGGUAAAGGAUGUGGAUUUGCUAAGACAGCUAGGAUGUUGGCUUAGAAGCAGCCACUCAUUUAAAGAGUGCGUAACAGCUCACUAGUCGAGUGAGUCUGCGCCGAAAAUCAACGGGGCUAAAACCAUAUACCGAAGCUGCGGAUUCAGAAAUGAAUGGUAGAGGAGCUUACUGUAGGCAGUUGAAGCACGAUCGUAAGGACGUGUGGAUGUAUCAGUAGUGAGAAUGUCGGAAUAAGUAACGAGAGACAAGUGAGAAUCUUGUCCGUCGAAAAUCCAAGGUUUCCUGGGGAAGGGUCGUCCUCCCAGGGUUAGUCGGGACCUAAGGCGAGGCUGACAAGCGUAGCCGAUGGACAACAGGUUGAUAUUCCUGUACCGCCGUUGCUCGUUUUAAGAGAAGCAAGGACGCAGUAGGAUAGUCGAUGCACACUGCAGGAUAUGUGUGUUCAAGCGAUGAGGAUAGAGAAGUAGUUAAGUACGCUUCUUGUUUCUGGGUCGUGAUGAGGAGGGAACCAAGUACCGAAGUCGAUGAUUUCACACUGACGAGAAAAGUUGCUAUCAAGAGUAAAGGUGCCCGUACCGCAAACCGACACAGGUGGAUGAGGAGAGAAUCCUAAGACGAGCGGGAGAAGCGUUGUUAAGGAACUCGGCAAAUUAACCCCGUAAGUUCGCAAUAAGGGGAGCCUCGGUAGUGAUACCAGGUCGCAGAGAAUUGGCCCAAGCAACUGUUUACCAAAAACACAGGUCUCCGCUAAAUCGUAAGAUGAGGUAUGGGGGCUGACGCCUGCCCGGUGCUGGAAGGUCACGGGAAUCUGUUAGAGCAAUCGAAGCAGUGAACUUAAGCCCCAGUAAACGGCGGCCGUAACUAUAACGGUCCUAAGGUAGCGAAAUUCCUUGUCAGGUAAGUUCUGACCCGCACGAAUGGCGUAAUGAUUUGGGCACUGUCUCGACAACGUACCCGGUGAAAUUGUAGUACUUGUGAAGAUGCAAGUUACCCGCGACUAGACGGAAAGACCCCAUGGAGCUUCACUGUAGAUUGUUACUGGGAUUCGAUAUUGUCUGUACAGGAUAGGUGGGAGACGAAGAACGCAUGGCGUCAGUUGUGCGGGAGUCGACGUUGGGAUACCACUCUGACAGUAUUGGGUCUCUAACCGGGAGCCGUAAGCCGGCUUCGGGACAAUGGCAGUCGGACAGUUUGACUGGGGCGGUCGCCUCCAAAAAAGUAACGGAGGCGUCCAAAGGUCACCUCAGUACGGUUGGAAACCGUGCGUCGAGUGCAAAGGCAUAAGGUGGCUUAACUGCGAGACAGACAGGUCGAGCAGGUACGAAAGUAGGGCUUAGUGAUCCGGCGGUAGAAUGUGGAAUUGCCGUCGCUCAACGGAUAAAAGUUACCCUGGGGAUAACAGGCUGAUCUCCCCCAAGAGUUCACAUCGACGGGGAGGUUUGGCACCUCGAUGUCGGCUCAUCACAUCCUGGGGCUGAAG